AGAGUUUGAUCCUGGCUCAGGACGAACGCUGGCGGCGUGCCUAACACAUGCAAGUCGAGCGGAGAUUAUAGCAAUGUAAUCUUAGCGGCGGACGGGUGAGUAACGCGUGGGUAACCUGCCUUAUACAGGGGGAUAACACUGGGAAACUAGUGCUAAUACCGCAUAAUAUGGAGAAGUGGCAUCACUAUUUCAUCAAAGGA
rnacentral:rRNA from 1 species